CUACCCGCUGAACUUAAGCAUAUCAAUAAGCGGAGGAAAAGAAACUAACAAGGAUUCCCCUAGUAACUGCGAGUGAAGCGGGAAGAGCUCAAAUUUUGAAUCUGGCAGUCCUUGGCUGUCCGAGUUGUAAUCUAGAGAAGUGUUUUCCGCGCCGGACCGUGUAUAAGUCUCCUGGAAGGGAGCGUCGUAGAGGGUGAGAAUCCCGUCUUUGACACGGACUACCAGUGCUAUGUGAUGCGCUCUCGACGAGUCGAGUUGUUUGGGAAUGCAGCUCAAAACGGGUGGUAAACUCCAUCUAAAGCUAAAUACAGGCGAGAGACCGAUAGCGAACAAGUACCGUGAGGGAAAGAUGAAAAGAACUUUGGAAAGAGAGUUAAACAGUACGUGAAAUUGCUGAAAGGGAAACGCUUGAUGUCAGUCACGUUGGCUGGGGAUCAACCUUGCUUCUCGCUGGGUGUACUUCCCGGU
rnacentral:rRNA from 1 species